GACAAACGCUGGCGGCGUGCCUAACACAUGCAAGUCGAGCGAAGUGAGUACUACGGUACGAACUUAGCGGCGGACGGGUGAGUAACGCGUGGACAAUCUACCCUGUAGACUGGGAUAACACCUCGAAAGGGGUGCUAAUACCGGAUAAUGUCGAGAAGCGGCAUCGCUUUUCGAAGAAAGGAGAGAAUCCGCUAUAGGAGGAGUCCGCGUCCCAUUAGCUAGUUGGGGAGGGUAACGGCCCACCAAGGCGACGAUGGGUAGCCGGCCUGAGAGGGUGAACGGCCACACUGGAACUGAGACACGGUCCAGACUCCUACGGGAGGCAGCAGUGGGGAAUAUUGUGCAAUGGGGGAAGCCCUGACACAGCAACGCCGCGUGAGCGAAGAAGGCCUUCGGGUUGUAAAGCUCAAUAGUAUGGGAAGAUAAUGACGGUACCAUACGAAAGCCCCGGCUAACUACGUGCCAGCCGCCGCCGUAAGAC
rnacentral:rRNA from 1 species